rnacentral:rRNA from 1 species
GAUGAACGCUAGCGGCAGGCUUAACACAUGCAAGUCGAGGGGUAACAGGAGAAAGCUUGCUUUUUCGCUGACGACCGGCGCACGGGUGCGUAACGCGUAUAGAACUUACCUUUUACAGAGGGAUAGCCUUUAGAAAUGAAGAUUAAUACCUCAUAGUACUGAAGUUUGGCAUCAAAAUUUAGUUAAAGAUUUAUCGGUAAAAGAUGGCUAUGCGUCCUAUUAGCUAGAUGGUAAGGUAACGGCUUACCAUGGCAACGAUAGGUAGGGGUCCUGAGAGGGAGAUCCCCCACACUGGUACUGAGACACGGACCAGACUCCUACGGGAGGCAGCAGUGAGGAAUAUUGGGCAAUGGAGGCAACUCUGACCCAGCCAUGCCGCGUGCAGGAAGACUGCCCUAUGGGUUGUAAACUGCUUUUAUACAGGAAGAAACAGUUCUACGUGUAGAACCUUGACGGUACUGUAAGAAUAAGGACCGGCUAACUCCGUGCCAGCAGCCGCGGUAAUACGGAGGGUCCAAGCGUUAUCCGGAAUCAUUGGGUUUAAAGGGUCCGCAGGCGGUCAAUUAAGUCAGAGGUGAAAUCCCAUCGCUUAACGAUGGAACUGCCUUUGAUACUGGUUGACUUGAGUUAUAUGGAAGUAGAUAGAAUAUGUAGUGUAGCGGUGAAAUGCAUAGAUAUUACAUAGAAUACCGAUUGCGAAGGCAGUCUACUACGUAUAUACUGACGCUCAUGGACGAAAGCGUGGGGAGCGAACAGGAUUAGAUACCCUGGUAGUCCACGCCGUAAACGAUGGACACUAGUUGUUGGGAUUUAUUUCAGUGACUAAGCGAAAGUGAUAAGUGUCCCACCUGGGGAGUACGGUCGCAAGAUUGAAACUCAAAGGAAUUGACGGGGGCCCGCACAAGCGGUGGAGCAUGUGGUUUAAUUCGAUGAUACGCGAGGAACCUUACCAGGGCU